CUAAAAUUAACUAAUCUCCACCACGCUUUAACCUCUUCUCUUUCAUUUCUAACCUAACAGUCGUUUAAAUGUGUUUUUUAUGCAGUGGUCAAUCAGUGAUUAAUUAUAUUGCAAAGAAUUAUUUAUUAGAGAAUUUCUAAUAAUAACUUUCUUGCUUGAUUAUUAUAUAUUCCAAAUUUAUUAUAAUUAUUGCAAAAGGAUUUAAGGAUAUACAUACGCAUACACAUUUAUAAAAAAUUAUAAUGGGGAAAAAUAAGAGAACACGUAGAGUUGUGAUGCAGAGAUUUGCUCAAAUGAAAAAGAUGAUUAGUUUAAGCGAUUCGCGAAUAAAUCCAGAGAAGCGGCUUCCAUCGAAGAAAACUCCUAAAGAAGAUAAGACUAAAAUAAAAAUCACAGAAGUGCCACAGCAAUCCUCUGCAUUAUUCUUUCAAUAUAACAUGCAACUUGGACCACCGUACCAUAUUUUAAUUGAUACCAACUUUAUUAAUUUCUCUAUUAAAAAUAAAUUAGAUAUAAUACAAAACAUGAUGGAAUGCCUUUAUGCAAAAUGUACGCCAUACAUAACGGAUUGUGUAAUGGGUGAAUUGGAGAAGCUUGGACAAAAGUAUAAAUUAGCGUUGAAAAUCAUUAAGGAUCCGCGAUUUGAAAGAUUAAAAUGUAUGCAUAAGGGAACCUAUGCAGAUGAUUGUCUAGUGAAUAGAGUGACACAGCACAAAUGUUAUAUUGUUGCGACCAAUGAUAGAGAUUUGAAACGAAGAAUACGGAAGAUCCCGGGUGUCCCAAUAAUGUAUAUAUCUCAACAUAGAUUUACGAUAGAAAGAAUGCCAGAUGCUUAUGGCGCACCCAAGAAAUAAGGAUAUAAUUUAUUGAAAAAAUAAAUUUGUGUGUCAAAAUCAAGGAAGAAUAAUUACUGAAGUACAAAUAGAGGAAAAUUCCAGAAACUAUAUAAAUGCAAAAUGCACUCAAUGGCAGAAGUGAGGUCUAAAGUUUAUUAGUCGUAUAUGCUGAAAUCAUAUCCACUCUUAUGGGACAACAAUAAAAAGGUGGAUUAUGAAUAUGGUUUAUAGAUAUGGACGAAAAUUAGAAGAUGGAUUUUAAGUGGCUGGAAAUCAUAAUACGUAAAUCAUCGUAGAUAUGGUUGAACACAAGGCUUAAGAAUUAUCUUUUUAUACUAAAAAAAGAAAAUGUUAAAACACUGGCAAUAAAAUGGAGAACAAUAAUAAAUAAAUAGACGUCUAUUAAAUGUUUAUUUGAUACCAUUGACAUCUAAUUGAAUCAAUCCGAUUUGUUUGUUCUUUCUGUGGAGUGGGCAAUGAAAAAUCUAGUUUUUGAACUUGGGUCUAUUUGCAACAAUAACCAUUGUUCGUCUUGUUAAGCACGUUGGUGUUCAAGAAACUUUAUGUUUGCAAUUAUAAUAAAAUAUAUUUCUGAAAUAGAA